rnacentral:rRNA from 1 species
CCUACGGGAGGCAGCAGUGAGGAAUAUUGGACAAUGGGCGCAAGCCUGAUCCAGCCAUGCCGCGUGCAGGAAGACGGUCCUAUGGAUUGUAAACUGCUUUUAUACAGGAAGAAACACCUCUACGUGUAGAGACUUGACGGUACUGUAUGAAUAAGCAUCGGCUAACUCCGUGCCAGCAGCCGCGGUAAUACGGAGGAUGCAAGCGUUAUCCGGAAUCAUUGGGUUUAAAGGGUCCGUAGGCGGUUUAAUAAGUCAGUGGUGAAAGCCCAUCGCUCAACGAUGGAACGGCCAUUGAUACUGUUAAACUUGAAUUAUUAGGAAGUAACUAGAAUAUGUAGUGUAGCGGUGAAAUGCUUAGAGAUUACAUGGAAUACCAAUUGCGAAGGCAGGUUACUACUAAUAUAUUGACGCUGAUGGACGAAAGCGUGGGGAGCGAACAGGAUUAGAUACCCUGGUAGUCCACGCCGUAAACGAUGGAUACUAGNUGUGUGNAUNUGAGUGNGUAGAGAAGUAGAGUAAGUAGUACCACCGUAACGGGUAGGUACGUUACGUUCGUAAGAAGUUAGAACGUUAACGAAAGGAAAGUUAGUUACGGACGNGAGACGAGCGACGGACGACGACGAGGGAGGAGGAGG